UUUUCUUUUCUUCGAUUGCUUCUCUUCUAUUCCUUUCUUCUUCUCCUCUUUUUAUUUCUACAUUUGUCUUCUUAUUUUUUAUCGGGUAUGUCGUUGUCGAUAUACCCCCUCCCGAUCGAACUUCAACACGAGGGGGGGGUACCGAUAUACCCCCUCCCCAAUAACAUUAUUUUCCCAUGUAUAUGUAUGUCGCGUUGUUAUCGAUAUAACCCC
rnacentral:lncRNA from 1 species